AUACGGAGGAUGCAAGCGUUAUCCGGAUUUAUUGGGUUUAAAGGGUUCGUAGGCGGAAAAUUAAGUAAGUGGUGAAAGCCUGCAGCUCAACUGCAGAACUGCCAUUGAUACUGAUUUUCUUGAAUUUAUAUGAAGUGGGCGGAAUGCGUCAUGUAGCGGUGAAAUGCACAGAUAUGACGCAGAACACCAAUUGCGAAGGCAGCUCACUAAUGUAAUAUUGACGCUGAGGAACGAAAGCAUGGGGAGCGAACAGGAUUAGAAACCCCAGUAGUCC
rnacentral:rRNA from 1 species